rnacentral:rRNA from 1 species
UACGUAGGGACCAAGCGUUGUUCGGAUUUACUGGGCGUAAAGGGCGCGUAGGCGGCCCUGUAAGUCACUUGUGAAAUCUCUGAGCUUAACUCAGAACGGCCAAGUGAUACUGCAGGGCUAGAGUGUAGAAGGGGCAAUCGGAAUUCUUGGUGUAGCGGUGAAAUGCGUAGAUAUCAAGAGGAACACCUGAGGUGAAGACGGGUUGCUGGUCUAACACUGACGCUGAGGCGCGAAAGCCAGGGGAGCAAACGGG